AGUCCACCUCAAUGCCAAACAGCAAAUAUUUAAUACUGUGCUGAGCAGCUUAUUUUUAUUGGACUCAAACUAAUUGAGGUUUUAAUAUCCUAGUGCCUGAAGAUCUCAUUCUCUUCCCGCUCUCUUGGAACUUAAAACCACAUUA
rnacentral:snoRNA from 1 species